rnacentral:rRNA from 1 species
GUUGCUGGCCCCCAACCGGGCACGUGCACGCCCUGUUUACGCAUCCACUCACACCUGUGCACCCUCUGUAGUUCUGUGGACCGGGAGACGUCGUCUUCCUUCCGUGGCUCUACGUCUUUACACACACGCCGUAGCGAAGUCUCAUGGAAUGUUUUUCGCGUUUAACGCAAUACAAUACAACUUUCAGCAACGGAUCUCUUGGCUCUCGCAUCGAUGAAGAACGCAGCGAAAUGCGAUAAGUAAUGUGAAUUGCAGAAUUCAGUGAAUCAUCGAAUCUUUGAACGCACCUUGCGCCCCUUGGUYAUUCCUCGGGGCAUGCCUGUUUGAGUAUCAUGAACACCUCAACUCUCGUGGUCUUCCAUGAUGAGCUUGGACUUUGGGGGUUUGCUGGCCCUGUGGCCGGCUCCUCUCAAACGAAUCAGCUUGCCAGUGUUUGGCGGCGUCACGGGUGUGAUAACCAUCUACGCUUGCGAUCGCCUGCCAGAUAACCCUCAGCGAUGAAGGUUCAUUGGGGCUCACAAAAGUCUCUCCACGGCGAGGACGAAUUUUGAAUGUUCGAUCUCAAAUCAGGUAGGACUACCCCGCUGAACUUAAGCAUAUCAAUAAGCGGAGGAAAAAGAAACUAACAAGGAUUCCCCUAGUAACUGCGAGUGAAGCGGGAAGAGCUCAAAUUUAAAAUCUGGCGUGCCUCCGGUCGUCCGAAUUGUAGUCUGGARAAGCGUUUUCCGUGCUGGACCG